ACAACAUGGAGCGUGGACAGGGAAGGGCUCGUGCCUCUUCACUUCCUGGCUGCUUACCCGGUAUGCUGAAGGCGUGAGUGUACAGAGCCUGGCCUCCAUCCACAUUGAUCAACUGUCCAGUGAUAUAGGAAGCCGCAGGGGACAGCAGGAAACAUACCAGAGGGGAGAUCUAGGGAAAGAAGAGAAUAUAUCCAUACAUAGGAGACAAGGAAAAAGGAAAGACUCUUCUCCAUGCCUGGGAGCCCGGAACUCCUGAGUAAGCACAUCUCUGCCCACAGGACUGCAUCACCAAUCCUCGCGCACGUGCAGCACGAUUUGACAGCACAGAGACAGUGUGGACAAAAGGGAAGUCAGGUAACAACCAGGGCAGAGGCGACAAGGUGUGGACAAGCAGCAGACAGUGGCAGGCAAACAGCAAUGGUAUAAGAAGCCACAGGCUCAAAGCAAUGGUUGGAGAAUGGCUGGAGCCUCA
rnacentral:lncRNA from 1 species